UACGUAGGGGGCAAGCGUUGUCCGGAAUCAUUGGGCGUAAAGAGCGUGUAGGCGGCCACUUAAGUCCUGCGUGAAAUCUUGCGGCUCAACCGCAAGCGGUCGUGGGAAACUGGGUGGCUAGAGUGCGGGAGAGGAGAGUGGAAUCCUGGUGUAGCGGUGGAAUGCGCAGAUAUCAGGAAGAACACCCGUGGCGAAGGCGGCUCUCUGGAACGCAACUGACGCUGAGACGCGAAAGCGUGGGGAGCAAACAGGAUAGAAACCUUGUAGUC
rnacentral:rRNA from 1 species